ensembl:lncRNA
AAACACACACAGGCUGGGGUUCAUUACAUGUGUCACGCAUCCUACAGACACACAAACACACACAGGCUGGGUUCAUUACGUCUGUGACACAUCACACAGACACACACACAGGCUGGGGUUCAUGACGUGUGUAACACAUCACACAGACACACACACAGGCUGGGUUCAUUACGUCUGUAACACAUCCCACAGACACACACACAGGCUUCGCUGUUGUGUCGUUGUGCGUGCAAACGGCUUCCCUCGAAGCGAUCCACACAUGAUGAGCUUUCAGUUCAAUUCAAUUCAGUUGAUUUGUGCAGCCCUUCAUCACAGGUCCAGUCUUAAAGGGCUGAACAGGCCGUGUGUUUACCCCCCUGACCCUAGCCCCCCAGAGGGCAAGAGAAAACUCCAUUAAUUAGCAAGGAAGAGAUCUUGAUUAGGAACGCAGAGUGGGGGAUCCCUCCUUCAGAGUGGGGGAUCCCUCCUUCAGAAGUGGGGGAUCCCUCCUUCAGAGAGGGGGAUCCCUCCUUCAGAGUGGGGGGAUCCCUCCUUCAGAGUGGGGGGUCCCUCCUUCCAAAUGGGGAUCCCUCCUUCCAGGGAUGAUUAGGAGUGCAAUGGGUGCCAUGAUUGGCAUUCAUACAUACAUACAUACACAUACAUACAUACAUACAUACAUACAUACAUACAUAGACACCUUGACACCGCACUUGAAGUUCAAACUCUUUCGACUUUGACCCCGGCUGGACGCUGACCUCGUCCAAUCAGGACAAAGCUUUGCUUGACUUUCUCCAUCCAACAGUGUGUAAACACGGAUGGUUUGGUCAACUUUGAGUUAAGCUCUUUACAAUAUUGCCUAACACCAUUCGUUCACACAUUCACACACCGACGGCGGAGUCAGCCAUGCAAGGCCAGCUCAUCAGGGGCAGUCAGGUUUGAAUCUAAACUCAUAUUUUGAGUUUAGCGCUAAGCUUGAGAUUCUUCAACUUUGGCUUCACUACGGUCCCCAAACCUGGCGGGGUACGCUCUGCUGAAAACUCAUCGUGUGUCAACUGCUCGACACCCCCAGUUGUGUUCUCCCUGUGCUGCACUGUGUUUGUGUGUGUGUUUCUGUGUGUGUGUCUGUUAAUGUGUGUUCUCUCUCUCAUUCCCCCACCCUGUCGCUCUCAUCCCCUCCUUUCCCACUGUACUCCGUCCUCUUUCCUUCCUACUCGUUUCUCUUCCUGCAUUGGGCUGAGCUUUCUCUGUCUCCCCCCUCUCAUCUCUCUCUGUGUCUCCCCCUCUCACCCCCCCUCCUCCAUUGGUGUUAUAAGCGGCCGCCCUCAAACUCUUUCCCGUAUGAGGAACCGACUGAAGGACCGAGACAAAGUCAAGUCUCUGCUGCGCCGCUCCAUGUAUAAAGAUUCGGUCGAUAGCGCGUCUGGUUUUGAAGACCACGAAGACCUGCAGCACGGGCCGACCGCGCCCCCCAGCCGCGCCCACAGCGAGAGCAGCGGCGAGUUCAGCAUGAGCCUGGACAACGAGCCCUGGUCCAACGGCAGCAGCCCGCUGCAGCCGGCGCCGCCCUGCCGCUCGCCCGGCUGCUCGCCCGGCGCCCACCCGCCCCCCAACGACACCCCCAGCCCCCGCCACGCCCACCCCCACUCCCCCGCCGUCGCCGUGGCCAACGGCUCGGUGCUCCUCCACGCUGCACCCCGGGACCCCGGCGCAGGGCAGCCCCCCACGGUGCAGCUCAGAGCCCCCCGGACCUCUGGCCCAUGCGGACCACCAAGACCAUCAGGAGGGGCUCCAAGGCCAAGGCCGCCGCCCGCCGCGCCUCCGACUCAGGGGGCUCCUUCAAACUCACCAAGGUCCUCAACGGGCUGGGCUCCAGGGCCAGCCCGGCCAAGGCGGAGCCCGCCGCCGCCGCCAUCGCCCCCGCCAGCGCCGCCGCCGCCGCCGCCCACUCGGCGGCGGCCUGCUCCCCCAUCACGGUGCUCUACGUCCAGGGGAAGUCCUCCUCCGUGUCGGGCUGCCUCAACUGCUUCUCCACGCCGCUGGGGCGGGAGGGCCGUCUGCGGGGGUUCCGCUGCCCCAAGGUCCUCCCGCGGGCCAGCAGCGUCAUCUCCACCGCCGAGGGGUCGUCACGGCGACCCAGCGUCCACAGCGCCUGCAGGGCGGCGCUCCGGGCGGCGCCGGAGCCGGCGGCCGCCGAGAGGGAAGCCGCGGAACUCCCCCCGGGAACGCCGCCCGACCGGAGCCGAGAACCG